rnacentral:rRNA from 1 species
AGAGUUUGAUCCUGGCUCAGGAUGAACGCUAGCGACAGGCUUAACACAUGCAAGUCGAGGGGCAGCAAUUUGUAGCAAUACAAAGUUGGCGACCGGCGCACGGGUGAGUAACGCGUAUGCAACCUACCCACAACAGAAGAAUAAUCCGGCGAAAGUCGGUCUAAUACUUCAUAAAACAGGGACACCGCAUGGUGUUAUUUGUUAAAGAUUUAUCGGUUGUGGAUGGGCAUGCGUACCAUUAGGUAGUUGGUGAGGUAACGGCUCACCAAGCCUACGAUGGUUAGGGGUUCUGAGAGGAAAGUCCCCCACACUGGUACUGAGACACGGACCAGACUCCUACGGGAGGCAGCAGUGAGGAAUAUUGGUCAAUGGGCGAGAGCCUGAACCAGCCAAGUCGCGUGAAGGAUGACGGCCCUAUGGGUUGUAAACUUCUUUUGCAGGGGAAUAAAGAUAUUCACGUGUGGAUAGUUGUAUGUACCCUGCGAAUAAGCAUCGGCUAACUCCGUGCCAGCAGCCGCGGUAAUACGGAGGAUGCGAGCGUUAUCCGGAUUUAUUGGGUUUAAAGGGUGCGUAGGUGGACUGUUAAGUCAGUGGUGAAAGUUUGUCGCUCAACGAUAAAAUUGCCGUUGAAACUGGUGGUCUUGAGUAUGGAUGAAGUAGGCGGAAUGCGUGGUGUAGCGGUGAAAUGCAUAGAGAUCACGCAGAACUCCGAUUGCGAAGGCAGCUUACUAAGGCAUAACUGACACUGAAGCACGAAAGCGUGGGUAUCAAACAGGAUUAGAUACCCUGGUAGUCCACGCAGUAAACGAUGAUUACUAGGAGUUUGCGAUAUAGUGUAAGCUCUACAGCGAAAGCGUUAAGUAAUCCACCUGGGGAGUACGCCGGCAACGGUGAAACUCAAAGGAAUUGACGGGGGCCCG